rnacentral:rRNA from 1 species
ACUCAAAUGAAUUGACGGGGACCCGCACAAGCGGUGGAGCAUGUGGAUCAAUUCGAUACUAACCGAAGAACCUUACCCAGACUUGACAUCGAUUGCAAGCCUUAGAAAUAGGGCCCUCUUCCCAAAAGGAAGACAUGAAGACACUUGUUGCAUGGCUGUCGUCAGCUCGUGCCGUGAGGUGUACGGUUAAGUCCGCCAACGAGCGCAACCCUCGUCCUAUGUUGCCAGCAUGAAAGAUGGGAACUCAUAGGAGACCGCCGCCGUAAGUCGGAGGAAGGUGGGGAUGACGUCAAGUCAGCAUGGCAGUUACGUCUGGGGCUUCACACAUGCUACAAUGGGCGAAACAAAGGGCAGCAAUACCGCGAGGUGGAGCCAAUCUCAGAAAUACGCCCCCAGUUCAGAUUGCAGUCUGCAACUCGACUGCAUGAAGGCGGAAUCGCUAGUAAACGCAGGUCAGCUAUACUGCGUUGAAUACGUUCCCGGGUCUUGCACACACCGCCCGU